AACUCAAAGGAGACUGCCAGUGAUAAACUGGAGGAAGGUGGGGAUGACGUCAAGUCAUCAUGGCCCUUACGAGUAGGGCUACACACGUGCUACAAUGGCAUAUACAAAGAGAAGCGACCUCGCGAGAGCAAGCGGACCUCAUAAAGUAUGUCGUAGUCCGGAUUGGAGUCUGCAACUCGACUCCAUGAAGUCGGAAUCGCUAGUAAUCGUAGAUCAGAAUGCUACGGUGAAUACGUUCCCGGGCCUUGUACACACCGCCCGUCACACCAUGGGAGUGGGUUGCAAAAGAAGUAGGUAGCUUAACCUUCGGGAGGGCGCUUACCACUUUGUGAUUCAUGACUGGGGUGAAGUCGUAACAAGGUAACCGUAGGGGAACCUGC
rnacentral:rRNA from 1 species